rnacentral:lncRNA from 1 species
ACAACUUUUUGUUAAAUCAGUAGAUACAAAUGUAUCACUGCUGAACCCUGUGGUGAACCAUCCUUAUUUCCUUUCUACUAGAACCUUAUUUUUCCUGGAAUUAAGAAUUGCCUGAUUUUAAAAUUUGCUUAAUUUUUUAUGUAUCUAUCACAAUAACUAUCCAAAGACUUAAACGCUCAAAAACAUCAGAUAAUAUCAAUUCCUUUUUUUUUUUUUUUUUUUUUUUUGUCCUUUGGGGACAUUUCUUCCAGUUUUCAUCUUCUGCCGUCUGGAUUAUUGCUCUCCAGGCCUGAGCAUGGCUCAGUGGUCAUUCUUGGUCUCCCUUUGUUUUUUAGUCUCAUAUUGGAUCUCCUGUUUAUUGGAUCCUGUGAGUUCCUGUUUCUUCAUUUACUGCCCUUUUUUGGCUAAAGUGUAUCCACCACAAAAAACUUCCUAGGAAAAAGUGCAUGAGAAGUAAAGAUUUUGAGACUUUACAGAUCUGAAAAUGUCUGUACUCUUGAUUGAUUGGUAGUUUGGACCUACUUUGAGUCUAUGUCACGAUUAUAUUUCCCUCAGAAUUUUGAAGAAAUUGUGCUCCAUUAUCUUAUGGCAUUCAUGAGUCCUGUGAAAAUUCUGAAACCGUCUUUUUACACGGGACCUGUUUCACACUCAAGAAGCUUUUAGGAGCUUGUCUUUACCCCUGACAUUUCACGAUGGUGUGUGGGUCUUUGUUCAUUCAUGUUGAUGGGUACUCAACUUGGGGGAGUCUUUCAAUUUGUAGACUGGUCUACUUCAGUUCUGGACAAUUUUUGUGUUAUCUUUUUGAUAAUUGUCUCUCCUCUAUUUUCUCCAUCCUGUCUUUCUAGAAUUCUAGUUAUUUGAAUGUUGGACCUCCCAGACUGAUUCUCUAAUUUUAAAAAUCUUUCCAGUUGCUGCUUAAGUUAUAUUAGAUUUGUUCUUUUUGUUAUCCUCCAGCUCUUCCACUAAAUUUUUUUUAGCUCCAUAAUUUCUAAGAUAUCUUUUUUCCUCUAUUCCUUUUUCAUAAUACCUUAUUCUUAUUUUAUAGAUUCAAUGUCUUUUCAUUAUCUCUAAGGAUAAUUAUGUGUUUUUUCCUUAUGUCUUUCCUGUUUCUCGCAUUGUUUCUAUUUCUUCCAUGUUCCUGUUUUCUUGUUUAUUUGUUUUGGACUAUGUCUUCCAUUCUGAAGGCUUUCUUAGAAACUUAGGGAGGUCAUCCAUUCAUGUUAAGAAUCAGGUACCAAAUAGCUAAUUCCGUAGGUCUUUAUGUGUAGACUGGGUUUAUCAGUUACUAGUGGCCAUCAGGUAAAGAGCUGGCCUUUUUUGUUGGAGUCCCCUAAAUUUCAGUGGAAGUCUUUUCUUUGGAGCCAUUUAGUUUUUCUAGGAAGGACUCCUGGAUUCUGGCAGCAGGAUAGGAGAAGGGUGAGGACUGCACAGUUUGUGUGGUAGCUUUUACUUCAUCCCCGUCUUUCCAGCCUCCCCAUGCCCUGCCCCACCCCAUCGCAGUCUUCCUCUGUGGUCACUGACCCUCAGGUUCAGUUUCUCCUGUGGAUGGAGGUUGGGGGUUGGUGAGUUGUGUGGCUGUGGCGAGUAGGGAGAGGACCUGGGCUCCGGUUGCUCUUCAUACAGACUUCUAGUCCCCAUUUCAGCUCUGUGCCUCCCUCCCGUCGUCUACAAUACCUGGUGCUUCCAAGUCUUGAACCUGUUAGGGUUUGGUAGGUGUAGGUAUUGGCACUUAGGCUUUAAUUUCUCCCCGUCUGCUGGGUUAGUUACCGCACCUCCUCCUGGUUUUUAUUUUUAUAAACUUUGUUGAAAUCGCAUGGCUGUGUAGUCUGUUCUCUUUGUCUUUGUGGUUUAAUACCACUAAUAUUCCUCUAACGUCUUUUUGGUGGGGUUUUGGAGGUAAAGAAAAUAAAUACAUGUGGUCAGUCUAUCAUAUUUAACUGGAAGUCUAGAUUUAAAUUCUAAUAGUAUAGAAAAUAAAAUCUCUUUAGUAUUAUUCUAUAAUUCAUUCUUUCUACUCUCUAAUGACUUUUAAUUAAUAUGGUUUUACUGUACUACCUACCUCAUAGGAUUGUUGUGAGGAUUAGCAGAAUCAAUACAUAUACAGCACUUAGAGCAGUGCCUGGCAUGUGGUAUAUGUUAAAUAAGUGUUAGCUAUUGUUAAUAUUGUUGUUACCAUUAUUAUUAUCACUACUACUACUCUUAAUUCAGUAACCCACUUAGACUUGAAUGAAGAUGUUUUCACCAUAGGGAGAAUUGUUGAUAAAUGGGAAAAUCUAGUGUUUGACAACAUUGGCUCUACAUUUAACUAGACUUCAAUGAAAUGUUCAGGAGUUAAAUUUUAUCUUUCUAAGACACAUUAAAGCCUUAAAAAAAUCCAAUCAGUAAUAGUCUAAAAGUUUUUAAAAGCAUAUCACAAUUUUGAUGUGCUUUUAAGCUUUAUUGGUUUUGUGUUUAUCAUUUAAAUAUGAAGUCUAGAGAAUAAAAUUGUGGAAAUGAUGUUUAUUAUGCCUUACCUACAGCCAGGAGAUGUAAUAUUCUUUGAUAUGUAGAAAUAGAGAACUCGUAGAUUCUAGUCACUGCAUCUAUGCCCUACUUUCUUGUGAGUGAUUGUACACUUUUCAGAAAAUGUGAACCUAUAAAAAGCAAAAUGCCUGCAUUUGUUCAGUUACUUCAGGUAUCUUCUCUGUGUCCAGAUUGCAUGUGAUAACACACAACUCUCAUUCGCAGUGGUGAAGUGGGAGUAGCUGAUUGCCCUCCUCUUUUUAUGAAUAGUGAGCUGCAUACUUUGGGGAAGGGGAUUUUUAUUUGUAAGGAGAUUUGCAUUCUCUCUCACUAGAGUCCCAUGGUUGUGACAAAUGGUUGUAAAUAUCAGUACUGCUAGAGAUAAGAAAUUUUUCUACGAAAGGAUUGGCCAGUUGCUUAGUGUGAAUAAACCUCUUUGCAAAUUAUCACGAUAACUUUGGUAGUACAGAUGAAACAGGUAGACAUGGCUAGAGUCAAACAGUGCCUGCUGUUGGCCUGCUGCUGGCAUUUCCCCUCCCCUAGAUGUGAAUAAUAUUGUCUUUAUUAUGUCCCCUUACUAUUUGCUUUGAUAGUUCGUCUCUGGAACUUUGAUGUCUACAUCUUUGGAGCCCUUAUGCUGCCUCAUCUCCAAAUGCAGUUACUAAUCUCUAUCUUUUCAUAGGAUGGGAUUUGCUCUUCUGGCCCAUAAUGUGCUCCCCUUCCCCUCAAAACAACUUCUCUUGGUCUCUUUGAUAAUAAAACAUUUUGGAACACUUACGAUGGGCCAGUUGCUUUACCUCAUUUUAGCCUCUACACAUAAAUGUUAAAGUACAGGAAGGAAUACAAGAGCAACCAAGAUGCACACAACCAGGAUUAACUCAGACGGGAUUGAUUAGAAUGAGGAAUAUUUUGUUACUGUAUCCUGAAAUACUAAGUAUUUAAAUGAUCUGUUUAUUUUAUUUAGUAUUUUACUUCAUGUGCCUCUGGACUAGCGUUCGUUGCCAAAUAAAUAACUAACCCAGAAUUUAUCCACGAAACCCAGAAUGUACGGCAGGGCAGAUUAAGUUUUGGUUACUUGUGAUAGAUCAAUGAAUUAAUGUACAGGGAUAUUAACACAUUAAGCAAUUCCUUUGCCACCAAUGAGGGGUUGUUUCCAUGGGUAAUGUGGUCAGAAAUGUAUGACUCUGUAAUGAAUUUCCUCCUUAGUUUUAUUCUGUCAGAGUGAGAGGAGGAUGCUGUUGAUAUUUGUGCUUUUGAAAGUUUGUCACAAAGACUGUUUUACCCUCUUAAAUCUCAAUGUAAAGUAUAUUUCCAGAUUUGGUAGCAUGGGAACAGUUAGGAACAAAGGAGAGAGAAUCAUAUCACCUUUGUGGAUCCACAGCCACCAGGAGCUAUACCCACACACCCUUUUCUUUCCCAACCUCUCUUGGUAUUAGUAGGCAGAGGCUGUCAUUUUGGAUGAGAGGUGGCUGGUUAGGAAUGAAAAAUAAUGAGUUAUGUGUAAUGAAAAGGAGGUGUUCUAAGAAAACUUUUCAGUCCCUCUCAGUGCCAUCAUCUGUCUCCCAGCACUCUGGAUUCUGAGAGAGCUGGGUUAUUUCCUACCCUUCCUCUUAUCUUUUUAAAGCAGUUCCUGAAUAUAUUAAAUCAUAAAUUCCUCUUUAUUAAAUUAUCAUUUAGACAAUACGAAUAAAGUGAAAGUUUGCCUUGGCACCCCCGCUCCCCCAGGGGUAACCACUCUUUUCCGGUGUGUAUCCUUCCAGACCUUUCCCUACAUGUUCACUAUUAUUUUAUGUAGAUGUACAUUGCAGUCAUUCAGAUUAGCUCAUCAAUAGCAAAGUGAUUCAAUAAACAGUGGCACAUCUAUGAUGCAGCUGGUAAGAAAGGAGAUGACUCUAUAUGUCGUUUUACAAGUAUUUUGUGCAUGUGGCAGUAGACUAAUUCUGACCUCUGCCGAUGUUGACCUGACAGGCAUUCUAGCUCUUUUAUUUUCUUUUUAAUCCCUCUAUGCGAGGAACUGUGAAUUGACUGCUUUUUCUAGAUAUCUAGAAUGAGGCCAUUUUCUUUUGAAAGACAAUCCUAGAGUUUCUAGUGCUUUCUUUAAUCGUGUGUAUGUGUGUGCAGGUCUGUAUGCAUGGUUUCUGGGUUGUGGACAAUGUAACUUGGAAUCAUUUUAUUUCGAGAUAAAGCUUUCUGUUUAGUUUUACAGUUGAUUUUAAAUGUUUAACUACAAAAAUAAAACGACUUUGCUCCAGGAGUUACCAGGACUUGGUCUAAAUAGAGUUGCGGUUUUUUUGUUUGUUUGACAGCAAUCAAAAGUGUGGCUGAGAGAUGGUAAGGAUCAAGCAUCGGAUUGCUGUCUUGGAAUGUAUGCGUGUCCACAUGACUAAAAGCCUUCAUUGGACAAUUUUAUGUGGUAAAUGAGCAUACAAUAAAUACCUUUUAACUCUUACCACCAGAAUCAGGCUCUGUACUUGAAUUAAAUAGGAAAUUUUUAUACUGUGCCCCUUUCCUGGGGUAUUUGUGGUUGCUUGGAGUUGCUAGGUUAUCCAGUGUUUCAGCAUGCCUGCAGAAUUGGCAUACUCACAACACUGUCCGGAGCCCCUUGCCAUGAUACCCCAUGGGAGAGGCCUUAGAAUACAAGUCACGUAUUAACUGUUAGUUGGCUUUAUUAUAUUUUUGUUUGUUUUCUUGUUUUGCAAUGAUUGGCCGGAGAAAAGUGUGUGGCAAUAAUACUUGUAUUUAGCAUCGUGACCAUGGAUGACGUACUGUCUUUUAAUUUUUUUUCCUUCUGUGCCAACUCUGAUCAAUUAGUUGUGGCUUCCAGGGAUUCUGAGUUUGAAGCUAGGAUCAGCAGAGAGUGACCUACUACUUGAUUAAUGCUGUCUGCCAUGGGCUUGGUAGGAGGGUGUGGGGACUGCUGGCAAGGAUAUUCUGUCAUCCCUAAUACAGGGCAAUGAUCAUGGUCGGAGUUUGCACAACUUGGCUAGAUUAUUUUUUUUUUAAGCCCUCACAGUAAACAAAGUUGAGCAACUAUAAUUGAUUCCCUGUUUUCAGUUUCUAUUAUCACACUAGAAUGAACUUAAUCAUACGUAUAUUUUUAAAAUGCAAACAAAAAUAGCCCAUCACCUCUUUCUUCAGGCCAGGUGUAUAUGUGUGCACGAGUAAUGCACACCAUUCACUUACUAGCAGUGCCUUUGUGAAUUCAAAGACCUUUGCAACCUUGACAUGUGCUCAGGAAAAAAACAGUGCCAUGCUUUUAAAACAAACUUUAAAAAGUCUGCAUUUAGCAAGUGAAAUUCAAUAGCAUACCAGUGUUUUACAUAGUUACUUUUUGUGUUUAGAUCACCCUUAGUCAUCACUUGAGAGAAGAGUUUUAGUUCCUUUGUGAUUUUGCAUAAGUAGCACACCUCCUUAGAAAGACAAGUUGCCCUUCUUUCUCCUUGCUGUGUUUUUAAAAUAUAGGCCAUGACUUUUGGGGGAGAAAUAUACGGAUUGCAACUUUUCUUUCUUGCUGUGUGAAUCAGGCCAUGUUGGCCACACAUCGUCCUUGAAUACGGCUUGAGUUAUGAAGCCAGCAAAAUGUACCAAUGACCUAUCAUUUUUUGGCUUCAUAACAAGUCUCUUUUUUGGGGACAUGUGGCUCCUUCUUCUAAAAUGUCUGCAUCUGCCACUUUCAGAUUCCACUCCUGCAGGUGUUUUUCUUUCUUUGGGGGGAGUGUGAAGGGAUUAAGGAGUGGAUAUGGUUUUAGAUAAUGUUUUUAAUCAUUCAAGUCCAUUGCUAGCUUGAUCUACAAAAACUAAAAGACUCACUGUGAUUUUUCUUGCCCCUGGUUUUUAAAAUUCUGUUAUCUCAGCCUUUCCUUUUUACCAGCUCUGAAGAAAUCAUGGUUGUAUAGUCCCCAAAAUACCCUACUCAAUGUCUCCAUAUUUGGUGGACUGUUUAGGGAAAGAAAAGAAUCACUUGGGAAGGCUGGUGAGUUCAAGGGGGCAUUUAAAUUUUGAAUAGCUUAUAUAUUUAUUCAUCUUAAAAACAAACUUUGUUCAGUCAAUAUUCAUUGGAUACUUACUAAGUGCUAUGUUGCCAGUAUUCAUCUUUGCUUUCUAAUUCUUGAGUGCAC